GACAGAGGCCUCGAGCGUUAGGCGGAAUCACUGGGCUUAAAGCGUGUGUAGGCGGCUCGUUAAGUACCUUGUGAAAUCCCACAGCUCAACUGUGGAACUGCAUUCGAAACUGCUAGGCUAGAGUAUGGAAGGGGUGAAGGGAAUUCCCGGUGUAAGGGUGAAAUCUGCAGAGAUCGGGAGGAAUACCUGUCGCGAAGGCGCUUCACUGGUCCACUACUGACGCUCAGGGACGAAAGCUAGGGUAGCAAACGGG
rnacentral:rRNA from 1 species